rnacentral:rRNA from 1 species
GGUUAAGCGACUAAGCGUACACGGUGGAUGCCCUGGCAGUCAGAGGCGAUGAAGGACGUGCUAAUCUGCGAUAAGCGUCGGUAAGGUGAUAUGAACCGUUAUAACCGGCGAUUUCCGAAUGGGGAAACCCAGUGUGUUUCGACACACUAUCAUUAACUGAAUCCAUAGGUUAAUGAGGCGAACCGGGGGAACUGAAACAUCUAAGUACCCCGAGGAAAAGAAAUCAACCGAGAUUCCCCCAGUAGCGGCGAGCGAACGGGGAGCAGCCCAGAGCCUGAAUCAGUGUGUGUGUUAGUGGAAGCGUCUGGAAAGGCGUGCGAUACAGGGUGACAGCCCCGUACACAAAAAUGCACAUACUGUGAGCUCGAUGAGUAGGGCGGGACACGUGGUAUCCUGUCUGAAUAUGGGGGGACCAUCCUCCAAGGCUAAAUACUCCUGACUGACCGAUAGUGAACCAGUACCGUGAGGGAAAGGCGAAAAGAACCCCGGCGAGGGGAGUGAAAAAGAACCUGAAACCGUGUACGUACAAGCAGUGGGAGCACGCUUAGGCGUGUGACUGCGUACCUUUUGUAUAAUGGGUCAGCGACUUAUAUUCUGUAGCAAGGUUAACCGAAUAGGGGAGCCGAAGGGAAACCGAGUCUUAACUGGGCGUUAAGUUGCAGGGUAUAGACCCGAAACCCGGUGAUCUAGCCAUGGGCAGGUUGAAGGUUGGGUAACACUAACUGGAGGACCGAACCGACUAAUGUUGAAAAAUUAGCGGAUGACUUGUGGCUGGGGGUGAAAGGCCAAUCAAACCGGGAGAUAGCUGGUUCUCCCCGAAAGCUAUUUAGGUAGCGCCUCGUGAAUUCAUCUCCGGGGGUAGAGCACUGUUUCGGCAAGGGGGUCAUCCCGACUUACCAACCCGAUGCAAACUGCGAAUACCGGAGAAUGUUAUCACGGGAGACACACGGCGGGUGCUAACGUCCGUCGUGAAGAGGGAAACAACCCAGACCGCCAGCUAAGGUCCCAAAGUCAUGGUUAAGUGGGAAACGAUGUGGGAAGGCCCAGACAGCCAGGAUGUUGGCUUAGAAGCAGCCAUCAUUUAAAGAAAGCGUAAUAGCUCACUGGUCGAGUCGGCCUGCGCGGAAGAUGUAACGGGGCUAAACCAUGCACCGAAGCUGCGGCAGCGACGCUUAUGCGUUGUUGGGUAGGGGAGCGUUCUGUAAGCCUGUGAAGGUGUGCUGUGAGGCAUGCUGGAGGUAUCAGAAGUGCGAAUGCUGACAUAAGUAACGAUAAAGCGGGUGAAAAGCCCGCUCGCCGGAAGACCAAGGGUUCCUGUCCAACGUUAAUCGGGGCAGGGUGAGUCGACCCCUAAGGCGAGGCCGAAAGGCGUAGUCGAUGGGAAACAGGUUAAUAUUCCUGUACUUGGUGUUACUGCGAAGGGGGGACGGAGAAGGCUAUGUUGGCCGGGCGACGGUUGUCCCGGUUUAAGCGUGUAGGCUGGUUUUCCAGGCAAAUCCGGAAAAUCAAGGCUGAGGCGUGAUGACGAGGCACUACGGUGCUGAAGCAACAAAUGCCCUGCUUCCAGGAAAAGCCUCUAAGCAUCAGGUAACAUCAAAUCGUACCCCAAACCGACACAGGUGGUCAGGUAGAGAAUACCAAGGCGCUUGAGAGAACUCGGGUGAAGGAACUAGGCAAAAUGGUGCCGUAACUUCGGGAGAAGGCACGCUGAUAUGUAGGUGAAGUCCCUCGCGGAUGGAGCUGAAAUCAGUCGAAGAUACCAGCUGGCUGCAACUGUUUAUUAAAAACACAGCACUGUGCAAACACGAAAGUGGACGUAUACGGUGUGACGCCUGCCCGGUGCCGGAAGGUUAAUUGAUGGGGUCAGCGCAAGCGAAGCUCUUGAUCGAAGCCCCGGUAAACGGCGGCCGUAACUAUAACGGUCCUAAGGUAGCGAAAUUCCUUGUCGGGUAAGUUCCGACCUGCACGAAUGGCGUAAUGAUGGCCAGGCUGUCUCCACCCGAGACUCAGUGAAAUUGAACUCGCUGUGAAGAUGCAGUGUACCCGCGGCAAGACGGAAAGACCCCGUGAACCUUUACUAUAGCUUGACACUGAACAUUGAGCCUUGAUGUGUAGGAUAGGUGGGAGGCUUUGAAGUGUGGACGCCAGUCUGCAUGGAGCCGACCUUGAAAUACCACCCUUUAAUGUUUGAUGUUCUAACGUUGACCCGUAAUCCGGGUUGCGGACAGUGUCUGGUGGGUAGUUUGACUGGGGCGGUCUCCUCCUAAAGAGUAACGGAGGAGCACGAAGGUUGGCUAAUCCUGGUCGGACAUCAGGAGGUUAGUGCAAUGGCAUAAGCCAGCUUGACUGCGAGCGUGACGGCGCGAGCAGGUGCGAAAGCAGGUCAUAGUGAUCCGGUGGUUCUGAAUGGAAGGGCCAUCGCUCAACGGAUAAAAGGUACUCCGGGGAUAACAGGCUGAUACCGCCCAAGAGUUCAUAUCGACGGCGGUGUUUGGCACCUCGAUGUCGGCUCAUCACAUCCUGGGGCUGAAGUAGGUCCCAAGGGUAUGGCUGUUCGCCAUUUAAAGUGGUACGCGAGCUGGGUUUAGAACGUCGUGAGACAGUUCGGUCCCUAUCUGCCGUGGGCGCUGGAGAACUGAGGGGGGCUGCUCCUAGUACGAGAGGACCGGAGUGGACGCAUCACUGGUGUUCGGGUUGUCAUGCCAAUGGCACUGCCCGGUAGCUAAAUGCGGAAGAGAUAAGUGCUGAAAGCAUCUAAGCACGAAACUUGCCCCGAGAUGAGUUCUCCCUGACUCCUUGAGAGUCCUGAAGGAACGUUGAAGACGACGACGUUGAUAGGCCGGGUGUGUAAGCGCAGCGAUGCGUUGAGCUAACCGGUACUAAUGAACCGUGAGGCUUAACCUU